rnacentral:rRNA from 1 species
UGAACGCUGGCGGCGUGCCUAACACAUGCAAGUCGAGCGAUUCUCUUCGGAGAAGAGCGGCGGACGGGUGAGUAACGCGUGGGUAACCUGCCUCAUACACAUGGAUAACAUACCGAAAGGUAUGCUAAUACAGGAUAACAUAAGAGAUUCACAUGGAUUUCUUAUCAAAGCUCCGGCGGUAUGAGAUGGACCCGCGUCUGAUUAGCUAGUUGGUAAGGUAACGGCUUACCAAGGCGACGAUCAGUAGCCGACCUGAGAGGGUGAUCGGCCACAUUGGAACUGAGACACGGUCCAAACUCCUACGGGAGGCAGCAGUGGGGAAUAUUGCACAAUGGGCGAAAGCCUGAUGCAGCAACGCCGCGUGAGUGAUGAAGGCUUUCGGGUCGUAAAACUCUGUCCUCAAGGAAGAUAAUGACGGUACUUGAGGAGGAAGCCCCGGCUAACUACGUGCCAGCAGCGGC